rnacentral:rRNA from 1 species
GCUUCUGAAGAAUCAUUUGAAGUACUUAGUGGCGGACGGGUGAGUAACGCGUGGGUAACCUGCCUCACACUGGGGGAUAGCAGUUGGAAACGACUGAUAGCACCGCAUAAGCGCACAAUACCGCAUGGUAUGGUGUGAAAAACUCCGGUGGUGUGAGAUGGACCCGCGUCUGAUUAGCCAGUUGGCGGGGUAACGGCCCACCAAAGCGACGAUCAGUAGCCGGCCUGAGAGGGUGUACGGCCACAUUGGGACUGAGACACGGCCCAAACUCCUACGGGAGGCAGCAGUGGGGAAUAUUGCACAAUGGGGGAAACCCUGAUGCAGCGACGCCGCGUGAGCGAUGAAGUAUUUCGGUAUGUAAAGCUCUAUCAGCAGGGAAGAUAAUGACGGUACCUGACUAAGAAGCACCGGCUAAAUACGUGCCAGCAGCCGCGGUAAUACGUAUGGUGCAAGCGUUAUCCGGAUUUACUGGGUGUAAAGGGUGCGUAGGUGGUUGCGCAAGUCAGAAGUGAAAACUAUGGGCUCAACCCAUAGACUGCUUUUGAAACUGCGUAACUAGAGUGCAGGAGAGGAAAGUGGAAUUCCUAGUGUAGCGGUGAAAUGCGUAGAUAUUAGGAAGAACACCAGUGGCGAAGGCGGCUUUCUGGACUGCAACUGACACUGAGGCACGA